GAGGACAUAGCUCAGUGGUAGAGCUCAUGCUUAGCAUGCACAAGGUCCUGGGUUCAAUCCCCAGUACCUCU
rnacentral:tRNA from 1 species